rnacentral:rRNA from 1 species
GAUGAACGCUGGCGGCGUGCUUAACACAUGCAAGUCGAACGGAAAGGCUCCUGCUUGCAGGGGUACUCGAGUGGCGAACGGGUGAGUAACACGUGGGUGAUCUGCCCUGCACUUCGGGAUAAGCCUGGGAAACUGGGUCUAAUACCGGAUAGGACCACAUUUUGGAUGGUGUGGUGGAAAGUUUUUCGGUGUGGGAUGAGCUCGCGGCCUAUCAGCUUGUUGGUGGGGUAAUGGCCUACCAAGGCGUCGACGGGUAGCCGGCCUGAGAGGGUGUACGGCCACAUUGGGACUGAGAUACGGCCCAGACUCCUACGGGAGGCAGCAAGGGGGAAUAUUGCACAAUGGGCGCAAGCCUGAUGCAGCGACGCCGCGUGGGGGAUGACGGCCUUCGGGUUGUAAACUCCUUUCGCUAGGGACGAAGCGUUUUUGUGACGGUACCUGGAGAAGAAGCACCGGCUAACUACGUG